rnacentral:rRNA from 1 species
UGCAAGUUCGAAGCGGAUGAAAGGAGCUUGCUCCUGGAUCAGCGGCGGACGGGUGAGUAAUGCCUAGGAAUCUGCCUGGUAGUGGGGGACAACGUUUCGAAAGGAACGCUAAUACCGCAUACGUCCUACGGGAGAAAGCAGGGGACCUUCGGGCCUUGCGCUAUCAGAUGAGCCUAGGUCGGAUUAGCUAGUUGGUGAGGUAAUGGCUCACCAAGGCGACGAUCCGUAACUGGUCUGAGAGGAUGAUCAGUCACACUGGAACUGAGACACGGUCCAGACUCCUACGGGAGGCAGCAGUGGGGAAUAUUGGACAAUGGGCGAAAGCCUGAUCCAGCCAUGCCGCGUGUGUGAAGAAGGUCUUCGGAUUGUAAAGCACUUUAAGUUGGGAGGAAGGGUUGUAGAUUAAUACUCUGCAAUUUUGACGUUACCGACAGAAUAAGCACCGGCUAACUCUGUGCCAGCAGCCGCGGUAAUACAGAGGGUGCAAGCGUUAAUCGGAAUUACUGGGCGUAAAGCGCGCGUAGGUGGUUUGUUAAGUUGGAUGUGAAAUCCCCGGGCUCAACCUGGGAACUGCAUCCAAAACUGGCAAGCUAGAGUAUGGUAGAGGGUGGUGGAAUUUCCUGUGUAGCGGUGAAAUGCGUAAUAUAUAGAAGGAACACCAGUGGCGAAAGCGACCACCUGGACUGAUACUGACACUGAGGUG